UGCCAGCAGCCGCGGUAAUACGGAGGGAGCUAGCGUUGUUCGGAAUUACUGGGCGUAAAGCGUGCGUAGGCGGAUCGACAAGUUGGGGGUGAAAUCCCGGGGCUUAACCCCGGAACUGCCCUCAAAACUGUCGAUCUAGAGACCGGGAGAGGUAAGCGGAAUUCCUAGUGUAGAGGUGAAAUUCGUAGAUAUUAGGAAGAACACCAGUGGCGAAGGCGGCUUACUGGACCGGGUCCGACGGUGAGGGACGAAAGCUGGGGGCACGAACCGGAUUAGAUA
rnacentral:rRNA from 1 species